AAAAUAUUGAAUGAAAAUUUCCAUGAUGCCAUGUUAAAGGGCUUAAAGGGCUUUAAAAAGGAACAAGCAGUAAAUACUAGGAACUCUGCUGAGUGCUAAGGUUACAGAGACGCAAGUCCUCCUCUCACAGAGCCUGCGGCCUGCUGGGGUAGAGAGGACCUUAAAGGAAAAACUCAGAGUUACUGACAAAUCUUGAGAGAGCAGAAGGGAAGGGGAGAGGCAGAGAGAGAGAGAGAAGCAACGAUGAUGUGAGAGAGACAAAUUGAUUGGUUCCGCAUACACCCCAUCCAGGACUGAGGAUUGAGCCUGCAACCGAGUUUCUAGGUUUUGUGUUCUUGCAGAGAAAGGCUGCACUGCCCUGAUUUCUAAGACACGGCAGUCAUGGUGCAUGGUGACUUAGAACACGUGGCCACAGUACUGGCCGGGGAGGCGGUGGAGACAGGAAACCAGAGGAGCAGGGUCAGGACCGGCUGAGUCAGGACUGAGGGGCUCUCCCUGGACCCAGCAGGGUGCUGGGCUGCACUGGUGAGUACAGACAAUGAGGAUCUCUCACCUCCAUCACUGCGUUAAAUAUCAGGCCCUUAGCAGGAUAUCAUUUCUAUUAGCAGUUUCCAUUUUUUGGAGGAAAAUGAAAAAAUUAAUUAGAAAGAAUUCAGAGAAGGCAAAGAUAAAGGUUUAAAAAAACCCUGAAUAUAUGUCUCAUAAAGAAAGUUUAUAACUUGGACUCACUUAAGGAAAAAAUAUUAACUCCAGGGGGUAAAUUCCUUUUUGUGUAUGGGCAUAAGGCUGUAUGGUUACUUUCCAUCUUUAAAGGAGAACAAAAUAGGAGAAGAAAAG